rnacentral:rRNA from 1 species
UACGAAGGGGGCUAGCGUUGCUCGGAAUCACUGGGCGUAAAGCGCACGUAGGCGGAUUGUUAAGUCAGGGGUGAAAUCCUGGAGCUCAACUCCAGAACUGCCUUUGAUACUGGCGAUCUCGAGUCCGGGAGAGGUGAGUGGAAUUGCGAGUGUAGAGGUGAAAUUCGUAGAUAUUCGCAAGAACACCAGUGGCGAAGGCGGCUCACUGGCCCGGUACUGACGCUGAGGUGCGAAAGCGUGGGGAGCAGACAGG